UUGCAGAGAGGUACCGGAACGGCGAGCUGAAGAGGGCUCUUUCCGAGGCUGAAGCCUACGCCUUCAAGGUAUAAAAUCCUUGUCGAUUCGGUUCAGUAGUUGCUCAACUCGGAUGCCUGAAUUUGUUCCAGUUUUGUCGAUUUCUUUCUUGGGACAGAAUUUAGAGUAUGAUGUUCUGUAGCUGUGAUUUGUCCAUCGAUGUUGAUAGCUAGUACAAUUGAUUGAAUACAUCUCCCGCCUCGCCUCCUCUGACACAUACGAUUCUCGGCAUCUCACUCAUGUUCUCGUGGUGCUGCGGGCCAACAUAGGUGGAGCUGCUCAUGGGGUGAGCAGACCGGCCUUGCUCCUGAAUUCUGGCCGUGUUUGGGCUGGCCGGCGAAGAUGGCAAAUUCCGGCGCUUUGGGUACCUCAGCUUCGGUUCCUUUGCUUCCCUUGCUGUUCUCGUGGCCGUGCGCUUCCUUGGCUUCUUCUGCAUGUGCUGAGCUUUCCUGAAUCCCCGACGAGUUAUUGUUUUUCUUCUAGAAUACUCAGUUCCUGGGUGGACGCUUAGUAAGCAGAUAAGUGGACUUGGGCACUUGACUCGUUUCAUAAUAGGAAAAAUAGUGAUUAAAUUCUUAUAUUCAGGGUGACUGGCAUUGUUGGUAGCGUUUUUUUAUUUAAAGAAAACGAUCAAUUCAGAUCAUUCAUAAUAUUAAUAGAGUGUUGGCUCCCAUCCUUCAAAUCCUAAAUUUGUUUCUUUUGGUUAUGUUGAUUAUUUGUUCCUUCUUUGGCUCUGCAUAAGGAAAUAUGGUGAAAAUAAGGGUUAACAUAAGAUAGUACUAAGGGGGGAUUGACUAUCACCACCAGGUGGCAGCAAAAUGUACCGCACAUCAUGACAGAGAAAGGAAAUCCAUAUUCUGGUCAGCUAUUAACACUGUAUGUCUUUGUGUAUAAUUUGGUGGGCAAAAUCACAGUUCAUUAUGCUAAAAUGAGAAAUGAGACAAAACACUCUUGUAGCUGACUGUCAAGAUGAGAAAUGAAACUAUUAGUCUCUCUAUACCUUUGUAGACAGAACACUCUUCAAGCUAGUGUCUAAACUCUAUAUGGUUGUAGACAGAACACUCUUCUAGCUAGUGUCUAAACGGUCCUAGAUAGUGCUUCCCUGCCACUACAUCAUCCUCGUGUUGUACGAUUAACAUCUACCACUACAUCUAUUUUUGGAUUGAAGAAAUUUAACUGCUCUAUAUAUACUUUUCUGUCAAGUAGUCUGACUGUUUAGCAUCUGUUGCUACAGUGACAGAGUUCUCUGUUUAAUUAAAUAGCUAACAUUUUUUUCUGAUAGACCACAAUAUUAUCUCUGAUGAGAAUAUUUGAGCGAAUUGUUUCUUGUUAUUAUCUGAAAAAGAUUGCCACCAUGGCUAUACAAUAAUAAAAUGAAUUUAUUCGUUGCUACAGAGAGAAAUGUCCAACACUAAUUUCUUGUCAUUUUUUGCAUGUCCAGCUUUCUGGAAGAUGGCAUUAGGCAGUGUUCUUUCCGAUGGAGACAACUUCUGAUGCUACCUAGAUUGGCCGAUCUACUUUUUUUAUCAGCGACGCUACUAUCUAUUUCAUGAGGAUGCACUUGGCAGAUCUGUAAGAUCGCAAUGUUCAGCCUGGCUUCUAUCUUUGAUCUGGUAUGUAAUAGUUUUUUCGUUGGUAUAAAACUGCAAGUUAUCCGAAUUGUGCUGCUAAAACAAAGUUCUUGAUAUAAGUUACCUAUAAUCAUCCGGCGCGGCUUAUAUAAUAUUUUGAUAGUA
rnacentral:lncRNA from 1 species